AUUGCUUGAGGCUUGCUCUUGGGAAUGGUAGCUCCCUGGAACUUCUGUCCAGCCUGCAUAUCUGGACUGUGCAGGGGAUACUUCUAUGGCCAGAAAAAGCCCUUGGGCAGAGAGAAGCAGGUUCUUGAUGCUGAGAUGUCUGCGUGCUUGGGAGUUGACCACUGCAGCUGCAGGAGCUGCCUGGCAAUGGUAGCAGGUGAAGGUCAUGGUGAAGAAGAUGCAGAUAUUGGCAAUUUGGAGCAUUAGAUGAACUAAUUACAACGUUAACCUAAGGAACAGUGCAACAGAAAAUGGGCUAAGACAUGGAGCAAGGGGCAGAACGACUCUUGAAGAUGCUGAGCAACUUCUGAGAACAUUAACUGAAUACGUCAGAGACUCUGAUCAUGUCAGAGACCGAAGCAGAGAAACAGAGAACACUCAUCUUCCUUCUCAACCUGGCUCUGGAUGCCAACUGGCAACGCUGUGAACCAGUUUGGGCUUGGAGGGCUCAGAGGAAGCCACUUUUGGAAGGCAUUGGAAGCUGGUUUUUCAGAGCCUACUCUUUGCUACCCCUUUCUAUGUUGAAAAUAAAAAUGUAAAGCCUAAUUCAUAGUCACAACAACAAUGACACCAGGAAUAAAUCACAGACCAGAGUCCAAACAUCUGGUCACGUUGCUCAUCUACCAUCUGGUGGGUCUCCUCUCAGCUCUGUGUUCUGACUGCCAGUCAUCUCCCUUCUUCUCUGUCUUCACUGGCACUAUUCUAGGUUUAUAGUUUUGAAAUAGGUUCCUAACUGGUUGCUCUGCCUCCAGACUCUUAUACUGUAUACAGGUCCAGUGACAAAACGAUGGUUUGUUUUACAGUCCACAGAUACAUUUUACUUAUUUUUUUAAUGUCCAUAACACUCUUUGGAAUAAGAUUUAAAAAUUGAAAAAUCAGAUGAUUUUAUGUAAAAAUCCAUAUUUCCUGUUUAUGCUAAAAAAUUGAAUGAUCUGACCUCACUGGUCCACACCGAGCAACAACUGGGUAAAUCUUGCCAUUUUGGUUUUUUUUUUUUUUUUUUUUUUUUAGCUCAGGCAUCGGAUUUUUGUCCAGUUCAUCACAAUCUCUCCUCUUUACUAUUGUUUUAAACCCUUCUUUUUUGUUACCUGCCUGAGCCUGGGAGGUAUUUGAACUUAAAGACAUUACUUCAAUGCUUUAUACAGACUCAUUUCUCUGAAACACGAAUUUGAUCAUGUCACUCUCAUGUUUAAAAACCUUCGCCAGCCUGCUUGCCUGGUGGAUAAAGUUCAAACACUUGACCCUAGCAUAGAAGGGCCUCCAUAACCUAAUCUUUUAUCUCUGUGGCUCUUCCUAGCUCACACUCUGCCCAGAAGCCAUGCUGAAAGGCGGUGCUCUGUUGUACCCCUCUGUCCUCUGCCUGCUCUAAUGUCCUAUUUUUAGCUGAAUAUCUUUUCUUCAAUUUUUCAUCUGGUAAAUGUCUUCUCCUUAGUAUCAGCUCAUACUUUAAAAAAGUCCUUCUCGAACUUUUGUGCUUUCAUUACCUGCUUCUUCUUCACUUUCUGAGGACCUUGGACCCUCCUCUAUUGCAAUGGUAUUGCCAAGCCAAUUCUUUCUCCUUCUUCAGACUGUACAACCCUUAGGGCUCUGAGCCAUCUUUGCCUUUGGGAAUUUAUUGCAGAGUAGGUGAAUGGUGUUCACUGAAUAAAUGUUUCAGAUUGGAAAAUUUGAUCUUUCAUUUCCUUACCUAUAGGAUGGAACCGUAAUACCUUCUGUUCACAUACAGGAGAAUCAUUGUGGGGAUCAAAUGACACAAUGUCUUUUGUAAAAAUGUUAACAAAGCACUUGGAAACUGCAAAGUAAUAUAUGAGUAGAUGGAAUUAAUAUAGAAAAUGUUAUGUUCUCAACUUGCUUAAAAUAAUUUAACUGUGUUAUUUCUAGCAAGAACAGUGAUCUUGAAGGCAGGGCUAUAGUUCUUGUUUAUAGUUCCAAUUUUAUUGCCAAUUAGUUGGAUGACUUAGGGAAAGUAAUUUUGCCUAUCUAGACCUCAGUUUCCACAGCUGAGCUCUGGAAAUUUUAAGGUAUUUGUUAUGUCUUUCAUGUUUUUCUCCAGUCUUCCUAGAAGUAAAACAUUUUUCUUGUUUUCAAAGACUUUCAUUCUUCCACAUUUGGUAUGGUAUAUUAACCGUAAUACAAUAAUGAAUAUGCAGCCAUUCGUUUUUUCAUUAAAUAUGCAAAUCAUUGAGAAU
ensembl:lncRNA LINC01182 long intergenic non-protein coding RNA 1182